AUUUUACUCUUUGUACCACACCAGUGUGCAGCAUCGGCUGAGCUCGCCUCACUCUGAGAACUAACUCUUCUACUAGAAGGGACUCUCAGCUCCUAUUUCCUUCUUAAACAUGUUGAUGGGAGAGAGUUGUCUCCCGUGAGGGGUUGUGAAAGGAUGAAUUUUUAUCCACUGGGAAGAGUUCACAGGAUUUCGCCAGCUCUGCUGAUUGUUGUUGGGUUUUUUCCUCUUUCUGUCUAAUCCCUGUUUUUUUGAGUCAAGGCGGUAAGUGGAUUUUCCUUUAACAUUCUUUCCUGCUUUUCUUCCCAAAUGUGUCUUUCUUCCUGGGGUUAUUGUACCACGCCUCCAGUGCUGUCCCCGGCAUAGGUCCGUCUCUGCAGAAGCCAUUCCAGGAAUACCUGGAGGCCCAGCGGCAGAAGCUUCACCACAGAAGCGAAAUGGGCACACCGCAGGUGAGACUUUUCCCUGGUUUUCUUCUUUUUCCCACCCCCACGGUUUCAGGCUGCAGUUACAUUCACGGCACUCACUGGCAUUUUUAGGCAAAUAGAGUGAGGUUUGUCAGGCUUAAUAGAAGUUUGAAGCUCUGUGUACCCUCUACUGGCAAAUGUGUCUUUGUCUAAAGCAGAAAAAUGUAGCUUUUGUUUUGUACUUCUCCCCAAAACGAGCAUUGGGUUAAUGGAAAAUAAUGGAUAUGUUCUGUAGAAUGAGUUAUUACCUUGAUCUUCAAUGAUUUAUUUAUAAGUAGCAAGUAUACUUUCCAAGUGGAUUAGAAAGUUAAGAUUUAUAGCAUAACAAAAUAUUGGAUUUAAUGAGUUCAUUUGAAUAUCCAUUUUGGCUCUCUUUUUCUUUUCAUUGAUGGGAAAAUAAUCUUUUUUAAAAAAAUAUAUAAACCAAAGCUGUUAACAUAACUGAACUUAAAAACUUUAAGCCUGCCUUUUGUAUAAACAGUUCUGUAGCAAAGAAAGGAAAUGACUAGGAGAGGAUGAGUAAGCAAUAACCUGAAAUGGGGAACUUGAAGGAAGCAUAGGGCUAUUUUUGUUGUUGUUUGGUUUUGUUUUUUUUAAUGGCCUUACAACUCUUUAUGUGGUCCUUUGCUGCCCUCAGUUGACUAAACAUAACUACAGAAAUAGAUAACAUUUAUGUUUUAAAAGCUGCUCCUAAUAUUGGAACAAGAAUAUAUUUAAAACUAUCUUGACGCUACUCUACACGUAUCCCCAUGGUGACUUCAGAUAGUAGAAUUUCAUCAAAGACUUUAUGUAGUGAAAGACAAGAAAUGACCUCACACCCCAUUCUAAACUAUAUUCAACAUUCUCUUUAACAAAGUGAAACCUUUAAUAACUGGAGGUAAGAAGGCCUGAAUGUAGAUUUCAGGGUAGCUGAAGAGAUAAGACUUUUCUUUUUUAAUUGUUUAUUAGGUUAUAAGCUCCAAGUUCUCAUUACUUUCGUUAAAACAUGGUAGAUGACUCCGUUUACUACCAAACUAAUGAAGCAUUUCUCGUGGGUUGUUCUGCCUUUCUUCCUGCAGGGAGAAAACUGGUUGUCCUGGAUGUUUGAGAAGUUGGUUGUUGUAAUGGUGUGUUACUUCAUCCUGUCCAUCAUUAACUCCAUGGCACAAAGUUACGCCAAACGAAUCCAGCAGCGAUUGGACCCAAAGGAGAAAACCAAAUAAGCAGGAAAAGUUGUUAACUGCAGAAAUUAAAAUGGAAGGGUUCUGCCUUAAAGUGGGAGGACUCCAGAUCAGGAAGGAAAAUUUCCUUUUCCAACCUGUAUCAGUUUUAAUUCACCACCCCCCACCCCCGAAAGCAGUUUAAUCCACAUCUUGCACUGACAUACUUUUCCUUUGUUAAGGUAAGGUAUCCACCCUCAGUUCAAUCCAGGUUUUAUUAGGAUGGAAUGUGAUGUUCAGCAGCAAAGUUAACAGAAACUGGCCUUCUAUUUGUUACUUUCAAAGGCCCACGUGGUACAAUUAAAGAAUUCCAACCACCCCCCCCCCCCCAAAAAAAAAUUCCUAAGUUAUGUUAAAUAUUUCAAGCUUUUAAGGCUUGUCAAAUAUGACCUCUUUGUUUUUCUGAGUCAUCACAAGUGUAUAUAAGUUACACUGGAUUGGGUAACAGUCUUGCAUGUCUAUCAUGGUAAAAGUAAUAUGCCAUCCUGCCCAGCCCUUCUUCUCCCACCUUCGAAAAAAGGCCAUUUUAUGAUGCAUUGCACACCCUCUUGGGAAACUGAUCUUUCAAUUUUGAGACAGUAUAAGGAAAAUCUUGUUGGUGUCUUACAAAUGAGCUGACACCAUUUUUUAUUCUGUAUAUUUAGAAUGAAGUCAUGAAAAAACUUUAUAAAUACAUCUUUGAUCAUUCCAAAAUUGUGUCCAUUUUCUUGAGCGUUUUUUUUUAAAACUUCCUUUUAGCUUCUACCAACUAAAUUCAGCCUUGCCACAUCCACCGCAGCCACAGCCUCUUAAGCCUUCAUUUAUUUGCAUGAAAGGGCCACUGCCAGGUGUUUCUUGGUUGGGUUGGAAUUGGGCAGCUGGCUACAGACUGCUGAAAGGGCAGCUUAGGUACUGGUGUGUGGAGGCGACUUCUUGGUUUGUGAAAACAGGAGAGAUUAUAGUAUAUAAAUCAAAGGACAUGGAGAGAAAAAUAAGCUGUUUUAAAAGAAAAGAAGCUUUCUCACAGCUAUUCAUUUUUAGCUCAGCACGUAUUCUGAUUUUAGCAGAAAUUUACUUUUAUAUAUAACCUAAUUUUCUUUCUUUCGUAAGUGUUUGUUCUUAUGUGAUUUUUCCUUUCGGAUGUUUCUGGUUGAACUUGGUCAUUUUAUUUUGCUGCAGACGGGGCAGGGUCCCAGGAGUGGGGCAGUGAUAAGUAGUCUCACUUUUCGCCUUUAGGAAAAUUGGUACUGACAAUAUAUUGAGUAUAGAAUUGAGUUUAAAUCUCAACAGGCCAGAAAUGCCUGGUUUGUUUGAUCAAAUCCUGCCUGAAUGUCUGCUUGUUUUGCCUACCGUCGUGACAUCUCCAUGGCUGUACCACCUUGUCGGGUAGCUUAUCAGACUGAUGUUGACUGUUGAAUCUCAUGGCAACAGCAGUCGAUGGGCUGUCUGACAUUUUGGUAUCUUUCAUCUGACCAUCCAUAUCAAAUGUUCCCAUUCAAACAUUACCCAGCACCAUGGUUUAUGAUUAAAAGAAUUGGUCCUUAGGUCUAGUGGCACUUUGAAUCUUUCGUGCCGUACUACUGUAUCAAUAUCAAGAGGAUUUUAUGCAAAAUUGGGAUAGUCUGUGAUCAAAACUGAAUAAAGGACAAGCAGCCUGCCUUGUGAGUUUUGGAAAGGUUACUUCUUAACCAUCUUUUACCCCCUACCUAGAAACUCUAGCAAUAGUUACUUACUUGAAAAGCGGUACCCAGAUGCUUUAAGUAAACUCACGUUAACCAUUAUGAUUUUUAUCUUUAGGGUUUGUGUAAGUCUCUAAAUCAGCUUCCAGUUGUCUGUCAUCACCUUCACCCGCAUUUUAUUUGGUGUUUGUCUGAAUAAAGGAAAGAGGAAAGCAAAA
rnacentral:miRNA from 1 species